CGUUCAUAUCCUGGCUUUUUCCAUUUUGCAAUCAGGUUACGAUCGCCAUAACCUUGUUCCAAGCAGAACUCGUAAAGCUCUUUAGAAAUUUCAUUCGUUUNNNNNNUAUAAUAAAUGUCAAAAAUGUAGCGGCUCCUUUGAUGGGCAAUUCUGAAAAUAGGCCAGAGAGUUUCACAUUUUCUCUUGCCAUCAUGAGGAUCAUUUUCAGCUUCCCUCAUCUGGCAUCUAGCUCGCGAAGAGUAGGCUCGAUCAACUCCCACCCAUCUGGAUAUUUGAUCCGGUUGGUCUUCACUUUGGGCAUUUCUGCAACAGAAGCUGGAUUUCCUUCGCUA
rnacentral:misc_RNA from 1 species